CCAACUUGAAAUUAUAUCAUGACCCUGCAUUGGAAAAUCUGAACUUUGACCUUUUCAGGUGAUGAAUAUGCAUUAUGAUCUACCAACUCAGAGCAAUGACCAAACUCUUGGCCUCCAAAUGCUGUUGAGGGAGACAAGGGCAGCUUGAGAUCAAGAUUUGAGUAGUGGUGGUGUUAUACCUUCUGUACGUGGCCCAGUGGCAGAGUUGGUAUGAAAACCUGUCCCUUCAGAAUGCCAACCGGAAAGACAAUGCCAAAGGAAUUUUGUCACACCCAAGAUGGGCCAUUGAUGGAUUUAAUGUGUCUCUGUCCUUAGUCCCAGGAAGGAGGACAGGACACCGCAGUGAGGGGACCUCAGAGUCCUCAGAGGGGACAGCAGAGGUGCCAGAAAGAACCUCAGAAGUAAGGAGGGCCCAUGUGGACUCGAUCUCUUGGGAACUGGCUGUUUCUUGAGACUGGGCCUAAGCAGCUUUGGUGAACCAGUCCCAAAUCCUAUCAUCAAAAAGGAAAAUAUGGUGAGGUUGCAGACUUAUGUGCCUGGAGUUUGCUGGACAGGUCCUGUGAAAAUUUCCCAAAACAGGGAUCUCGCCAGAUUUCCAUGUGACAACAAAAGCGUUGGCUGCAGGGAACUACUUAGGACAUUUCUCUAUACCUGGGUUUUCUUGACCUAAGCAGAUGUGAAGGGCUGCUGUCUGACUCACCCUUCAUUUGACCUAUUUUUGAAAUGACUUCUUUACAAAAACCUGGAGAUAAGUGCAGAGAAUUACACAUUUAUAAUCCUAGUAUAGACAGGAUUGUCUAACCCUCUCAUUUUAGCUGCUCCCUGUCCUGCCAGUGGUAGGUGAAUGCUGACCAAAUGUUGGCAAGAGUCUAAUGGCCUAAGCUAUUUGCUCUAGCAGUAAUUACCAGGAAGGUGAGGGUGGGAUAGGAGAUGGGGAGUGGGGGAAGGGCAUACCAAGUGCCAGAGAGACAGGCUGGGGGAGGCUGUGAGGGCCCAGAAGUUCAUUUGUAGUUCUGCCUUUGCUUCACAGUACCCCAGGAACCUCUCAAGUGGGUCACCAAUGAGGUAUCAGCACAAUAGGGUGCUGGCUUGGUAUGGUGAGAAGAGCUGGGACUUCAAAUUCAAAUCUGGGUUUGGAUGUUUUUCUACCAUUUUACUUGCCACACAAUGUUGGCUUUCACCCCAUCUUCCAGAACCUAUUUCCUUGCCUAAUAAAUGGGUAUA